GUCGACAUUUGGCCCAUUUCAUCAUAGGACAAACAUUAAUGGCUAUUUGACUUGUGCCAAGUUAGAUGCUGCUGUGGUUACUACUACUGAUAUGUGUUUUAUGUCUUUCAAUAUGAGGCUUUUAUAAUUAAUCUUUAAGAUUUUGUUGUUCUUCCCCAAUUCUUUUUCUUGUUCUACCAAAUGUCUCUGAUUAUUUGCAAGCUGGAAAUACGUACAAGUGUAAUUAUUUGGAUGGUUGUAGGUAUAAUGACUGCUUAUUAUUAUAAGUAAGUUAGGUUGAUUGAAUCACCCCUGAAAUUUACGGAGGCGAUGUGAAGCCACAUAUCGCCCCGAUAAGCCUGCAAUGUAGGCGGGUUGAGUCAACCCGAACUGUCUAUGUUGGACCCAAUUUUGGUGAGGGGUGACGUCGCCCUGACAAAUUUCAUGGGUGAUCCAGUGCCCUUUCAUUUUACUUAAAGCAAUCCUUUUUCUGGAUUUAUUAUUAAUAUUAUAAAUACUAAUAUUAUUAUCGUUAUCUCUGUGAUGGUUGGAAUCCACAGUCCAGCCGAAAGCGCGUUUGGGCGUCUCGCUCACGCGUCCACCACAACCCACCCCUCCUAGCUCGCAAUAUUUGUCGUUUUAGAUCGGCAACCAGUCACAGUCGUGCUGCGUCACUCAAUCUGUCUCUGUCUCUCUCUCUCUCUCUCGUUCCUCUUCUUGGCCUCUGAGGCGGAUCGCAUAUUGCCCGCUAACCCCUCGUUGGAUUUCUGAUCGUUUCUUCGUUGGUCGCACCGGCACGACUUCAGGCAGCUUAGACCUUCUUGACAGAUGGUUCUUGAUUCACUAUCAUCUCCUCAUAGGAGAUCACAGAACACAGUUUUCCUGGCAUCCCCGUCCAAGAAGCAGCAGUCGGGCUUCAAUGAGCCUGGUAGUUGGUCCACUAUUUAUGAGCGGCACAGGUUUCUCUUGAUGAUGCUAGCUCUAUUGGCAUUCCUAUGCACCAUCUAUUUGUACUUUGCAGUUACUUUGGGAGCCACAGGUUCAUGCUCAGGAAUGUCAGGAGCUGAGAAAGCACUUUGCCAGGCCAAAUCUUCAUUGCACAAGGGGAAAUUGAAAUUCUUUUGACCAGCAAGUGGUCUCGAGCAUCUAGAAAAGCAAUGCCUCUGGGAUUAAUGAUCAAUUCAUGACAAUUCAUAAACACUAUAUGAUAUGGGGGCAUUGCAUGUUUGGUUUCCUGCAGCAAAUUAUACGAUUUGUGGGUUGUGGGUUGUGGUUUACCGAUGAUAAAUGUGUAUUUGAUUUGAUGUGUUACCUGUUAUAAGGGUGUACUUGAUUUUUUGAACAUGUAAUCCUUAGAUGAUUACUGUCUUAGUUUCUGUUUCUCUGUUCAUUAGAAAUUUACAGUCUUCAGUCAUUAGUUGAAGAUCAUUGUUAACAUUGCCCCAUCAUUCAUAUCAGUACAAUAUUGUUUACAAGA